rnacentral:tRNA from 1 species
GCCGCCGUGGGCCGCUUCGACAGCCUCGGCCAGCUGUUGCAGGGCCUGGGCGUCAUUGACAUCCAGCGGCCAGGCGCGGAACCCGGCGGCGGCG